rnacentral:tRNA from 1 species
GGCACGGUACGCAAACCGGCAAAGCGGGCAAGCUCAAACCUUGUUGCGUGUGGGUUCGACUCCCACCCGUGCUA